rnacentral:rRNA from 1 species
AGGACGAACGCUGGCGGCGUGCUUAACACAUGCAAGUCGAGCGGUAAGGCCUUUCGGGGUACACGAGCGGCGAACGGGUGAGUAACACGUGGGUGAUCUGCCCUGCACUUCGGGAUAAGCCUGGGAAACUGGGUCUAAUACCGGAUAUGACCUCCUAUCGCAUGGUGGGUGGUGGAAAGAUUUAUCGGUGCAGGAUGGGCCCGCGGCCUAUCAGCUUGUUGGUGGGGUAAUGGCCUACCAAGGCGACGACGGGUAGCCGACCUGAGAGGGUGACCGGCCACACUGGGACUGAGACACGGCCCAAACUCCUACGGGAGGCAGCAGUGGGGAAUAUGCACAAUGGGCGAAAGCCUGAUGCAGCGACGCCGCGUGAGGAUGACGGCCUUCGGGUUGUAAACCUCUUUCAGCAGGACGAAGCGCAAGUGACGGUACCUGCAGAAGAAGCACCGGCUAACACGUGCAGCAGCCG